rnacentral:tRNA from 1 species
UAGCUCAGUCAGUUGAGCAUAGAACUAACAAUUCUAAGGUCGCAGGUUCAAUUCCCGU